AAAUUGAAGAGUUUGAUCAUGGCUCAGAUUGAACGCUGGCGGCAGGCCUAACACAUGCAAGUCGAGCGGAAACGAGUUAUCAGAACCUUCGGGGGACGAUAACGGCGUCGAGCGGCGGACGGGUGAGUAAUGCCUAGGAAAUUGCCCUGAUGUGGGGGAUAACCAUUGGAAACGAUGGCUAAUACCGCAUGAUGCCUACGGGCCAAAGAGGGGGACCUUCGGGCCUCUCGCGUCAGGAUAUGCCUAGGUGGGAUUAGCUAGUUGGUGAGGUAAGGGCUCACCAAGGCGACGAUCCCUAGCUGGUCUGAGAGGAUGAUCAGCCACACUGGAACUGAGACACGGUCCAGACUCCUACGGGAGGCAGCAGUGGGGAAUAUUGCACAAUGGGCGCAAGCCUGAUGCAGCCAUGCCGCGUGUGUGAAGAAGGCCUUCGGGUUGUAAAGCACUUUCAGUCGUGAGGAAGGUAGUGUAGUUAAUAGCUGCAUUAUUUGACGUUAGCGACAGAAGAAGCACCGGCUAACUCCGUGCCAGCAGCCGCGGUAAUACGGAGGGUGCGAGCGUUAAUCGGAAUUACUGGGCGUAAAGCGCAUGCAGGUGGUUUGUUAAGUCAGAUGUGAAAGCCCGGGGCUCAACCUCGGAAUUGCAUUUGAAACUGGCAGACUAGAGUACUGUAGAGGGGGUAGAAUUUCAGGUGUAGCGGUGAAAUGCGUAGAGAUCUGAAGGAAUACCGGUGGCGAAGGCGGCCCCCUGGACAGAUACUGACACUCAGAUGCGAAAGCGUGGGGAGCAAACAGGAUUAGAUACCCUGGUAGUCCACGCCGUAAACGAUGUCUACUUGGAGGUUGUGGCCUUGAGCCGUGGCUUUCGGAGCUAACGCGUUAAGUAGACCGCCUGGGGAGUACGGUCGCAAGAUUAAAACUCAAAUGAAUUGACGGGGGCCCGCACAAGCGGUGGAGCAUGUGGUUUAAUUCGAUGCAACGCGAAGAACCUUACCUACUCUUGACAUCCAGAGAACUUUCCAGAGAUGGAUUGGUGCCUUCGGGAACUCUGAGACAGGUGCUGCAUGGCUGUCGUCAGCUCGUGUUGUGAAAUGUUGGGUUAAGUCCCGCAACGAGCGCAACCCUUAUCCUUGUUUGCCAGCGAGUAAUGUCGGGAACUCCAGGGAGACUGCCGGUGAUAAACCGGAGGAAGGUGGGGACGACGUCAAGUCAUCAUGGCCCUUACGAGUAGGGCUACACACGUGCUACAAUGGCGCAUACAGAGGGCAGCCAACUUGCGAAAGUGAGCGAAUCCCAAAAAGUGCGUCGUAGUCCGGAUUGGAGUCUGCAACUCGACUCCAUGAAGUCGGAAUCGCUAGUAAUCGUGGAUCAGAAUGCCACGGUGAAUACGUUCCCGGGCCUUGUACACACCGCCCGUCACACCAUGGGAGUGGGCUGCAAAAGAAGUAGGUAGUUUAACCUUCGGGGGGACGCUUACCACUUUGUGGUUCAUGACUGGGGUGAAGUCGUAACAAGGUAGCGCUAGGGGAACCUGGCGCUGGAUCACCUCCUUA
rnacentral:rRNA from 1 species